GAUCAGGCUCUGCCCGGGGCGGGUCGCUUCGCUUUUCUGAGGCCUCGGUGUCUUCUCGGUGCUGGGGGUCACGAGACUCGUCCUUGGUGGUCGUCAAUGGCCUUAGUAAGCCGUGAGGCCCCUCGCGGUGAGGGGACUUAGGGGUCCCAGGACCCAUGUGGGAGACAAGUGGUCGGGGGCAGUGGAGGGGACCCCAUCCUGGGAGACCAGUCAUCUGGAUGCGGGUGACUCUGCUACUUAGGUUCCUCUUGGGCCUCAGGUUCCUCACCUGUGGCUCCAUUAGGAGCUUUCGGGCCCUUCUAGCUCAGCCUGCAAUUUGGGGCCACACAGUCCAGGGUGAAAGUGCAAAGGCUCAGACUUAGGGACCAGAGGUCCUUUUUUGUGCUGGGACUGAAAAUUCUAUGGCAGCAAGAUAGACAUUUUCCUUUCUGGGCCACAUCCCUUCUUCAUGAAACAACGAUGACGUCUUUCUGCUAGUAAGGUUGAAAUGAGAUAAUAUAUGUGAACAUUAAUAGGUUUUUAAAAAUUAAGCCAGAAGCAGUUCCCUCCUAAGGGCCUUUGCUCUUCUGAUUUCUCUGGCUGGAUCACAGUCUCGCUUCUCAUGUGACAGGCUCCUCAUCCAGGUCUCCCCUUCUCGGCCUGGCUGUAGCUGUGUACGCUGUCUAGCGUUCCCCCUCACUGCUUGCUCUGUGGCCCUGCUGAUGUGUCUUUGAAGCACCCACCACCACCUCGCAACACAUCCUAUGUGCAGCACCACACUAGGAUUAGCUUCAGGAGGGGAGGGGUGUUGUCGGGUUCCCCUGAGCAUCCCUAAUGCCUGGAAUAGCUCCCAGCACACACGGUGGGCCAAAUGUUGAUUCCUGUGUGUAGAAGGAGUGGGCCAGCAGCUGAGCAUGCCCAGGCCAUCUUCCUAUCUGGCUCUGCGAGGCAGGCCUGCUUCCACCGAUGGGGAUGUGCCAUAUCUCUUGCUUACUUGAUGAGUCUGACCUUCAUUGCCCCCAGGCCUGUGCUGGUCUUUUGGGGUACUGGGCUCACUUCGAGCUUUCCCUUGAGUUCAGGGAGUGGGGUAAGGCUGAACACUCCUAGCCAAAGUCUGCUGCUGCUUUGACCUCCUCAGAGGGGAUUCUGGAAGAACAACCUUCGGACCCUGUGCAGAUGGUGUCUUCAGCCUGGCUUGGGACUUAGAAGACCUGGGUUGCAUUCCUAACUGAUUUCAAUUCCAGUGGAACUUUGAGUUAGUCCUGUUCUCUUUCUGAGCCUCCGUCUUCUCAUCUGUAAAAUGGACAUAGGACAAUACUAUUUCCUUUAGAAAGGUGAUAGAGAUCUUAGAGCCCCUGCUCAAGGAUGCCCAUUGUUCUGGCCCGAGUGCGUUUUUAGGCCAAAGCAAUGGGAGGAUAAAGGAAGGAGUAACCUGACCUGCAGAUGGUGGAUGGAUGACUGGCUAAAGUGUCUAAGCAGCCGGGGAGGGCGUGGGAGACGGCCAGGCCGGAGGUGGACUGAGCUCCAGGCAGAGUCCUAGAGGAAGAUUAGCCCUGAGCUAACAUCCGCCACCAAUUCUCCUCUUUUUGCUGAGGAAGACUGGCCCUGAGCUAACAUCCGUGCCCAUCUUCCUCUCCUUUGUAUGUGGGAUGCUGGCCACAGCAUGGCGUGGUAAGUGGUAUGUAGAUCCUUGCUCGGGAUCUGAACCCGCAAACCCCGGGCUGCUGAAGCGGAGCGCAUGCAAACUUAACCGCUCUGCCACCAGGUUGGCCCCCAGCUCAGUAGUUUUUGAACUGGGUUGCAGUCCACUAGUGGUCAUGAAAUCAACGUAGAGGUGCAUAACCAGCAUGAAAGCAUGAAAGGAAGGGAAAAUAUGUAACAUUUUUCUAAUGUUAAAGUAACCUUGAAUUUUUUCAGAUAAUCCUAAAUUGGUCAUGAUAUUUUAUUCUUUAUAUACAUUGCUAGAUUUGCUUUGCUAACGUUUUGUUUAGGACUUUUUGUUGUUAAUCAAAAUACUCCAUAGAAAAGAGUAGAUAAGAAAGCUACAGAGUGGGAGAAAAUAUAUCAGUUCACAAAAGUCAGCCAUCCAGAAUAUGCAAAGAACUUGUAUGAAUUAACAAGAAAAAGAUUAAUUAAAAAAUGGGUAAUGAUAAACAGGUUUUUAUAAAAAAGCAUAUGUAGAUGACAAUAAACAUGGAAAGUAGUCUAAUCUCAUUAGUUGCCAGGGAAAUGCAAAUCAAAACUGCAAUGAGCUACCAAGUGACACCAGAAAAAUGGGCACAAAUAGAAGUCUGACAUUCAUAAGAGUGGGUAAGGAUGUGGGGUAGCGUGCUCCCUCAUAAACUCCUAGUGGAGUGUAAAUUGGUACAACCACUUUUUUGGUUUGUUUUAUUUCUUAUUCUCUUUAUUUAGUUAGUUUAUUUGGUGGUGCAAACACUUUGGAAAACUGUUUGUCUAGUGAAGUUCAACGUGAUUACACAAUACCCAGCAAUUCCACUUGCCCCUGGUGGACAGAUGCCCUAGUGUGAGUCCAAGUGCAGCAGGAGACCUGGACACAAGUGUUGGUAACAUCAUUAAUUGAACGGCCCCAAACUGGAAACAACCCAAGUGUCCAUCAGCAGUAGAAUGGAUAGAUAAAUUGCAGUGUAUUUAUAUACGCAAUGGGAUAUAAUACAAUGAAAAUGAAUGAGCUGCAGCUACAUGCAAGCAGGAGCAUGGGUGAAUCUUGUAUACAGUUUUGAGCAAAGGAAGCAAGAGAAAAGUGUGAACAGUACUUUUGUGCUCUUAAAAUUGCAAUCAUAAAAAUCAAACAGGCAAAAUUAAGCUACAGUGUUCAGGAUGCACACAUAGGUGGUAAAAGUUUAGAAACAAGCAAAGCAAUGUGAAUAUGAGAGACAAUUACCUGUUGUGGAGGGGGAGGCAGAGAGUUAUGACCAAGGGCUUGAGUGCAUCUCACAGGAUUGUGAACUCAAGGGUGAUAGAAAACUGCAUCCCCAGGUGGACAAAAAUGAAUGACAACGCCUUGUCUGUCAGUUGGGAAUUUGUUCAGUGGCAAAUAACACAGCAGCCCCUAGCAGCCAGACAGACUGGAGAGUACCAUAUUUUUAGUGAGACACAUUGUCUCCUUAAAUAAAGAUUCUCCUGCUAACAGAGAAGGGGCAAAUGGGCAUUGGGUGGACCAACUGGCAAUAGCUGCUACAUUUACAUUAUUCUGACUUUUUUUUUUUUUUGCUGAGGAAGAUUCGCCCUGAGCUAACAUUCAUGCCAGUCUUCCUCUAUUUUGUAUGUGGGACACGUCCACAGCAUGGCUGAUGAGUUGUGUAGGUCCACGCCCGGGGUCCGAACCUGUGAACCCAGGCCACCAAAGUGGAAUGCGCUGAACUUAAUCACUAUGUCACAGGGCUGGCCCCACAUUAUUUUUACUCUGAAUACAUAGUCACAUGGUGGGGGGGCAUGGGAACACAUAAUUACUGCAAAAGUGCAUAAAAUCUGAAAAUGAUUAAAAAUAAUAGCUCAUAUUAUUGAGCACUUUAUCAGUCAGGAGAAAAGGUUAAUGCCCUGACCUAGUAAUAAGGACUUAGGAAUUGCUGAAGAUGGAACUAGGCGAGGCAACCUGAGACCAACAAUAGCCGGAAGCCCCGACCACCCUUGGGGCUGGAGGAGCAGGUUGAGGUGGUGCUCUCAGAGCUGGGGUGGGGUACCUCCCAGAGCUGGAUGCUGGAAUUGUGGAGGGAGGGCUCCUGAGAGAGGUGGAACCAGGAAGAAGCUACAGGAAAUGCAGCAGAUGAGAUGACUUCUGAAACAGAAAUACUUGGUGUCUCCCCUCCUCCCACCCUCCAACACCCAGACAGUGCCAACGUGGGCUGGACAGAGGCAGAAGCCAGCUGGCAAGGGUGCCUGGAGGCUGAGCCCCUUGUGACAUGGAGCAGAAGGGGGACUGGAUGUGUGGACAGGUCAGCACCCUCCUGAGCACUGUAUCACCCGUUUAGUCCCCAUCAGGCCCUGUUCAAACAAGACAGCAGGCCCCAAAGGGAGUCCCUCAUGCUAAGCCCCAUUGUCACCAAACCAAGACCUGGCUUAAUUACAGUUUUGGCCCUCCCAGAAAUGGAAUCUUAAACCAGUGAGUCAGGAAUCCUCUGAUCAGCAUCCGCUAGGUGACCUGCCUGACAGGCCCCUGCCAUCCCCUAAAGGAAAGUAACCUUGCAGUAAUGCACCCACUUUUUUGCCUAGUAUGACUUCUGUGCUCCUGCUUCCUCCUGCCUGUAAGUCUUUCAUUUUGUCCAGCUCCUCAGAGCUCCUUUCUGUCUAGCAGGUUGGGUGCUGCCCAGUUCAUGAACUGUUGAGUAAAGCCAAUAAGAUCUUUAAAAUUUGCUCAGUUGAAUUUUGUUUUUUAAUGGCCCUUUCAUGAAGAAGGAGCCAUGUGAUCUCAGUCUCACAUGGAGAUGUCCAUUAACUUGUCCAAGGUCACAGAUCCUUGGCCGCCUGACCCCAGAGCCUGGGCUCCUGUCCACCGAGGCGGCUGUCUUGCACGGCCAAGCGUGCUGUGCUCAGCACCGAAAUGAGAGAGUUGGUAGUCCCUGUCGUUGAGAGGCUCCUAGUGAAGCUGGGGAGACAGACAUCUAAAGAAUAAAUCUGUUCUGUUCAAGCAUGUUCUAAGGGGGACUUUCUUAGGAGGACACUUGGUCAUACUGUGCACCGUUUGCACAACCCUGUCAGCCCCCCUCUGCCGUUAUGUUCUCGACAUGAGAGCGUCUUGGCUGCAGUGUGACCCAGGCUCGACUUCUUCACUCGGUAUUUUAACAGCCACGUAUGAAAAUGAAAAGGACAGAGUUGCGCCAACGACAGUAGUGUGUGUGUCAGUUGGUAAAGGGAAUUUGUUUUUGUUGUAAAGACAAAAGAUAGCUCAUACAUUCAACCCUUAACAAUUGAUUCUUCAUCUUCCUCCUCACUCCUGUUUUAUUUCCAGAAGCUUUGAAACCUCAGGAAAAGAAAGCAGUCUUUCAGCAAAAGAAUAAUAGCAACAACAAAAGCCCAAAGUCCAGACAAACAUCUCUUAUUUUUCCUUUUUCUGUCUCCACCCAGUACUAUUUUUCUUUUUUUUUUGAGGACGAUUAGCCUGAGCUAACAUCUGCUGCCAAUCCUCCUCUUUUUGCUGAGGAAGACUGGCCCUGAGCUAACAUCUGUGCCCAUCUCCCUCUACUUUUUAUGUGGGACGACCACCACAGCAUGGCUUGACAAGUGGUGAACUGGCGAACCCGGGCCACUGAAGCGGAACGUGUGAGCUUAACUGCUGCGCCACUGGGCCGGCCCCCACCCAGACUAUUUUUUAGGUUCAGAAACAACCAUAAAAAUAAAAUAACAGGAUAAGCAGUGGAAUCUCCAAUUUUUCCUUUUUUCCUGGCCUAUUUCAUGUCUAAUACAUCUCUUCAUCUAGCCUUUCUCCUAAGUUUCUCUGCAAUCUAGUUUUCAGAGUGAAAGCCUGUGAACAGUUGUGGUGAAGCCAUUCCGGAAGCAGCUUCAUGCUCCCUCCCGCUGGGGCCGCCCCUUGACCAGAUGCACCGGCGGCAGUCUCCAUUCCCGAGAGCAGUGCCCUGGACAGAGAUCUUUGGGCCUUGUUGUAGACUCAGCCGCAUCAUACCCGAGGCCGUGGUCUUCUCAUUCACCAACUGCACAGCUUCACCAUUUAAAAAUAGGAGGACGUAUAUUUUACUCUGCACCAGAUUGUUCCCGGUUAUCGUUUCACUCACCAAUUGGCGUUGUAUUCUGGUUUAACUCAGAAGUACCGUUCAUGAACUAUUUUAUCUCAGUCGAGCUGUCAUGAUAAAUUUGGGACCAGACGUUACCUGAGCCUGAGGUCCUUGCUCUGUGGGAGUUAAGAAGGAAAGUGGUUACAUGUGUACAAUCCAUCCACGAUUGAUCAUCGGCUGUCUCCUGUCUUCUGUAGUCUUGAACUUCCACUUCAUCCUUCCUGUUAGACAUGUCAGUGAAUUAAUAUGCAAGCAGUCACUGUGAACAUAGCCUCAUUUGGCCAAGGGGACUUCACAGAUGUGGUUAAGUUGAGGAUCCUGAGAUGGGAGAUCGUCCUGGAUGACCUGGGUGGGCUCUUAUCAGCGGGCGGUGGGAGCUGCCGAGUCAGGGGAGAAGGCCAUGUGAACAUGGGAGCAGACUGGAGUGAUGAAGCUGGUACCUUCAGAAGCUGAAAGAGCCUCCAGAUGCAACCACCCUGCUCACACGCUGCCGUGCGCCCUUUCAGCCUCGCUUUGGACUUCUGACCUCAGAAUGUAAGAAAAUAAAUUUGGGUUGUUUUAAACCACUCAGUUUGUGGUCGUUUUUUAUAGCAGCACUAGGAAAUUGAUACAUAUGGUAACUCUAUAUUUAACUUUUUUGAGGAACUGCCAAACUGUUUUGCAAAUGGCUGGAACAUUUUACAUGCCCACAAGCACUUGGUAUGGUCAACUCUUGAUUUUAGCCAUUUAGUGGAUGUGGAGCUCAUCGUGGUUUUAGUUUGCAUUUCCCCAGUGACUGUGUUGAGCAUCUUUUCACGUGCUUACUAGCCAUUCAGAUAUAUUCUUUUUUUUUGAGGAAGGUUAGCUCUGAGCUAACGUCUGCCGCCAAUCCUCCCCUUUUUGCUGAGGAAGACUGGCCCUGAGCUAACAUCUGUGCCUAUCCUCCUCUACUUUAUGUGUGAGACGCCUGCCACAGCAUGGCUUGAUGAGCAGUGUGUAGGUCCGCACCCGGGAUCCAAAUCAGCAAACCCCGGGCUGCCAAGGCAGAGUGGCGAACUUAAACCCUAUGACACGGGGCCCGCCCCAUGUCAGGUGACCGGCCCCUGGUCACAUAUACUCUUUGAGGAAGUAUGUGUUAAAAUCUUUUGCCCAUUUAAAACUUACAGUCUUUUCUGUCUGUCCUGACAUGCUGAUUCAUGUCCUUCUUAAAGGUAGCUGUUACUCUG
rnacentral:lncRNA from 1 species